CACUUGUAUACGAUGAAAGUAUAAAAUAAAUAAUUUUAAUUAACUAUUUUCACGUAAACCAAUAACAAACAGCAAUGUUGCUAUUUCUGCACGUUUCCGAGGUAUAACCCGAGGUGGUUGGGCGUGGUUGUGGGUGAUCGAGGUGAACGAGAAGGAGGACCAGAAAGACUAGGAGAACAAGGUGGACUAGGAGGACGAGGAUUUGUGCACGGUAUAACCCGAGGUGGUUAUCGGUGGUCGAUAGAGGUGGUUGACGGUGGUUGGAGGCGGUCG